GCCAGACGAGGUGUCACACACCUAUAGUGCCAGCUACUAGGAAGGCUGACGCAGGAGGAUUGCUUGAGGCCAGGAGUCCUGGGCUGUAGUGCGCCAUGCCAAUGGGGUGUCCACACUAAGUCUGGCACCCAUUUGGUGACUUUCCAGGAGCAGACCACUAUGCUGCCUGAGGAGGAGUUAAAUGGAACAGAUCAAAACUCCUGUGCUGAUCAGUAGUGGAAGCGGGUCUGUCAAUAGCCACUGAACUCACCUGGGCAGCAUAAUGAGACUCUGUCUCC
rnacentral:SRP_RNA from 1 species